CCCUUAGAUGUUCUGGGCUGCACGCGCGCUACACUGAUGCAUGCAACGAGUUUUCGACCUUGCCUGAAAAGGUUGGGUAAUCUGUUUAACAUGUGUCGUGAUGGGGAUAGACCAUUGCAAUUAUUGAUCUUCAACGAGGAAUUCCUAGUAAGCGCGAGUCAUCAGCUCGUGCUGAUUAUGUCCCUGCCCUUUGUACACACCGCCCGUCGCUCCUACCGAUUGAAUGGUCCGGUGAAGCGUUCGGACCGUGGCCUUUGGACGGUUCGCCGUCUGUUGGCUGCGGGAAGUUCGUUAAACCUUAUCAUUUAGAGGAAGGAGAAGUCGUAACA
rnacentral:rRNA from 1 species